rnacentral:rRNA from 1 species
GAUGAACGCUAGCGGCAGGCUUAAUACAUGCAAGUCGAGGGGCAGCAUGAUUGUAGCAAUACAAUUGAUGGCGACCGGCAAACGGGUGCGGAACACGUACACAACCUUCCAAUAAGUGGGGAAUAGCCCAGAGAAGUUUGGAUUAAUACCCCGUAACAUAACGAUGUGGCCUCACAUUGUUAUUAUAGAUUUUUCGCUUAUUUAUGGGUGUGCGGCUGAUUAGAUAGUUGGCGGGGUAACGGCCCACCAAGUCUACGAUCAGUAGCUGAUGUGAGAGCAUGAUCAGCCACACGGGCACUGAGACACGGGCCCGACUCCUACGGGAGGCAGCAGUAAGGAAUAUUGGACAAUGGACGCAAGUCUGAUCCAGCCAUGCCGCGUGAAGGAUUAAGGUCCUCUGGAUUGUAAACUUCUUUUAUAAGGGACGAAAAAAGGCUUUUCUAAGUCGUCUGACGGUACCUUAUGAAUAAGCACCGGCUAACUCCGUGCCAGCCGCCGCGGUAAUAC